UUAGAGUUUGAUCCUGGCUCAGGAUGAACGCUAGCGGCAGGCCUAACACAUGCAAGUCGAGGGGUAACAGGGGCUUCGGCCCGCUGACGACCGGCGCACGGGUGAGUAACGCGUAUGCAACCUGCCUGUAACAGCGGGAUAGCUCCCUGAAAGGGGAAUUAACACCGCAUAAGACCACGCUCUCGCAUGGGGACGGGGUAAAAUAUUUAUAGGUUACAGAUGGGCAUGCGUGACAUUAGUUAGUUGGUGAGGUAACGGCUCACCAAGACUGCGAUGUCUAGGGGUUCUGAGAGGAAGGUCCCCCACACUGGAACUGAGACACGGUCCAGACUCCUACGGGAGGCAGCAGUGAGGAAUAUUGGUCAAUGGACGCAAGUCUGAACCAGCCAUGUCGCGUGCAGGAUGACUGCCCUAUGGGUUGUAAACUGCUUUUAUAUUGGAAGAAUUGCGCUUACGAGUUAAGCGUUUGACGGUACAUUAUGAAUAAGGAUCGGCUAACUCCGUGCCAGCAGCCGCGGUAAUACGGAGGAUCCGAGCGUUAUCCGGAUUUAUUGGGUUUAAAGGGUGCGUAGGCGGAAAUGUAAGUCAGUGGUGAAAUCCUGCAGCUUAACUGUAGAAUAGCCGUUGAAACUGUGUUUCUUGAGUACAUUUGAGGUAGGCGGAAUGUGGUGUGUAGCGGUGAAAUGCAUAGAUAUACCACAGAACACCGAUUGCGAAGGCAGCUUACUAAACUGUCACUGACGCUGAUGCGCGAAAGCGUGGGUAGCAAACAGGAUUAGAUACCCUGGUAGUCCACGCUGUAAACGAUGGAUACUAGGUGUAGGAGGUAUCGACCCCUUCUGUGCCGGAGUUAACACAAUAAGUAUCCCACCUGGGGAGUACGGCCGCAAGGCUGAAACUCAAAGGAAUUGACGGGGGCCCGCACAAGCGGUGGAGCAUGUGGUUUAAUUCGAUGCAACGCGCAGAACCUUACCAGGGUUUGACAUGGAAUCGCCGCAGCGAGAGAUCGCUGUUUAGUGUUUACACUACGGUUCACACAGGUGCUGCAUGGCUGUCGUCAGCUCGUGUCGUGAGAUGUUGGGUUAAGUCCCGCAACGAGCGCAACCCAUAUUUCUAGUUGCUACUCGCAAGAGAGCUCUCUAGAGAGACUGCCGGGGACAACCCGGAGGAAGGGGUGGAUGACGUCAAGUCCUCAUGGCCCUUACAUCCUGGGCUACACACGUGCUACAAUGGUCGGUACAAAGGGCAGCAAAACCGUGAGGUGGAGCGAAUCCUCAAAGCCGGCCUCAGUUCGGAUUGGAGUCUGCAACUCGACUCCAUGAAGCUGGAAUCGCUAGUAAUCGUGGGUCAGCAUACCACGGUGAAUACGUUCCCGGGCCUUGUACACACCGCCCGUCAAG
rnacentral:rRNA from 1 species